rnacentral:rRNA from 1 species
CCUACGGGGAGCUGCAGUGGGGAAUAUUGGACAAUGGGCGAAAGCCUGAUCCAGCCAUGCCGCGUGUGUGAAGAAGGCCUUCGGGUUGUAAAGCACUUUCAGUGGGGAAGAAAGCCUUGGGGCUAAUACCCUCGAGGAAGGACAUCACCCACAGAAGAAGCACCGGCUAACUCCGUGCCAGCAGCCGCGGUAAUACGGAGGGUGCGGGCGUUAAUCGGAAUUACUGGGCGUAAAGCGCGCGUAGGCGGUCUGAUAAGCCGGUUGUGAAAGCCCCGGGCUCAACCUGGGAACGGCAUCCGGAACUGUCAGGCUAGAGUGCAGGAGAGGAAGGUAGAAUUCCCGGUGUAGCGGUGAAAUGCGUAGAGAUCGGGAGGAAUACCAGUGGCGAAGGCGGCCUUCUGGACUGACACUGACGCUGAGGUGCGAAAGCGUGGGUAGCAAACAGGAUUAGAUACCCGAGUAGUC